GCCGGCGUGGUGAAAUUGGUAUACACGGUAGACUCAAAAUCUACUGGCCUCGCGGCCGUAUGGGUUCAAGUCCCAUCGCCGGUA
rnacentral:tRNA from 1 species